rnacentral:rRNA from 1 species
AACGCGAAGAACCUUACCUGGGUUUGACAUCUCGGGAAUCCUUAUGAAAGUAGGGAGUGCCCUUCGGGGAGCCCGAAGACAGGUGCUGCAUGGCUGUCGUCAGCUCGUGUCGUAAGAUGUUGGGUUAAGUCCCGCAACGAGCGCAACCCCUAUCUCUAGUUACCAGCACUUCGGGUGGGGACUCUAGAGAUACUGCCCCGGUCAACGGGGAGGAAGGUGGGGAUGACGUCAAGUCCUCAUGGCCCUUAUGCCCAGGGCUACACACGUGCUACAAUGGGUGGCACAAUCGGUUGCGAAGCCGCGAGGCGGAGCCAAUCCUGAAAGCCAUUCGUAGUUCGGAUUGCAGGCUGCAACUCGCCUGCAUGAAGUCGGAGUUGCUAGUAACCGCGCGUCAGCCAUAGUGCGGUGAAUACGUUCCCGGGUCUUGUACACACGC